CGUAGGUGGCGAGCGUUGUCCGGAAUUACUGGGUGUAAAGGGCGUGUAGGCGGGGAGAUAAGUCAGAUGUGAAAUUCCAGGGCUCAACCCUGGCGCUGCAUCUGAAACUAUUUCUCCUGAGUGCUGGAGAGGAAAGCGGAAUUCCUAGUGUAGCGGUGAAAUGCGUAGAUAUUAGGAGGAACACCAGUGGCGAAGGCGGCUUUCUGGACAGUAACUGACGCUGAGGCGCGAAAGCGUGGGGAGCAAACAGGAUUAGAUACCCUGGUAGUCCACGCUGUAAACGAUGGAUACUAGGUGUAGGAGGUAUCGACCCCUUCUGUGCCGCAGUUAACACAAUAAGUAUCCCACCUGGGGAGUACGGCCGCAAGGUUG
rnacentral:rRNA from 1 species